rnacentral:rRNA from 1 species
GGGGGGGGGGGGGGGGGGGGGGGGGGGGGGGAGGGCGGGGGGGGGGGGGGGGCGGGGGGGGGGUGCGCGAGGGGCGCGAGGGGGAGGAACACGGGGGUAAGCGGGCCUGGGCUGGGGGAUAGCUUCAGGAACGUGGGUCUACGCCGGGAUGGGAGCUCGGGCUUCAUUGGGGGGGGUGGAAAGUUUGGGCGGUGGGGGCUGGACUCGCUGCUUAUGAGCUUGUUGGUGGGGUAGGGGCUUACCAAGGCUUUGACGGGUAGCCGGCCUGAGAGGGUGACCGGCCACAUUGGGACUGAGGUACGGCCCAGACUCCUACGGGAGGCAGCAGUGGGGAAUAUUGCACAAUGGGCGGAAGCCUGAUGCAGCAACGCCGCGUGCGGGAUGACGGCCUUCGGGUUGUAAACCGCUUUCGCCUGUGACGAAGCGUGAGUGACGGUAAUGGGUAAAGAAGCACCGGCUAACUACGUG